GAGCGCUGCAGAGCCAGAGAGCUGGGUCUCUCCCCCCCCCCCCCACCUACUUUUCCACUGGCCCCUUCAGCCUCCGAGACCCGCAGGAAUCAGGGAAGGGCAACGCGGCGGGAAGCAGAGGGAACACCAACUGCCACAGCAUGAAACUCCCAGGGAAGAGAGCAAUCAGCUGCCUUGCUGUUGGAAGAGGCCCUUGUGGUAAGGCGCAGGAGGGUUACCAUCGAUCUCACACAUGAGCUUGGCAGCAGAUACUCCCCUCACCAACCUGAAGAUGACCACAACCCCACAAACAAGGGACAGCUUAUUGCAAUCUCAUGAAAGAUUGGGUGGCCAGAACUACCUAGCUAAGCUGCUCCCACAUUCCUGAUGCAUGGAAACUGUGAAGUAAUAAAAGUGUUUAUUGUUUAAAGAUGCUAA